UAGGGAAUAUUGCACAAUGGGCGAAAGCCUGAUGCAGCAACGCCGCGUGCACGAUGAAGGCCUUCGGGUCGUAAAGUGCUUUUCUGGAGGACGAGGAAGGACGGUACUCCAGGAAUAAGGCUCGGCUAACUACGUGCCAGCAGCCGCGGUAAAACGUAGGAGCCUAGCGUUAUCCGAAUUCACUGGGCGUAAAGCGCGUGCAGGCGGUUCGGUAAGUUGGAUGUGAAAUCUCCUGGCUCAACUGGGAGAGGACGUUCAAUACUGUCGGACUCGAGGACGGUAGAGGGAGGUGGAAUUCCCGGUGUAGUGGUGAAAUGCGUAGAUAUCGGGAGGAACACCAGUGGCGAAGGCGGCCUCCUGGACCGUACCUGACGCUCAGACGCGAAAGCUAGGGGAGCGAACGGGAUUAGAGACCCCGGUAGUCCUAGCUGUAAACGAUGUGAACUUGGCGUUGGAGGCUUAAACUCCUUCAGUGCCGAAGCUAACGCGAUAAGUUCACCGCCUGGGGACUACGGCCGCAAGGUUA
rnacentral:rRNA from 1 species